GUUGUCCUAAAAAAAAUACAUUAGAUGCAUUUUUUUUUUUUUUUUGGUGUGUUGGUUAAAAGUAUAUUUCAUUUGAAUUGUUUUCAAUGUCUGAAGUCUGACUAUUAAUGUUUAUGUAUUUUAAUUCAGGUUGAGAAUGCUGUCAGACAGGGAAAGACAGGGUCCUCAUGCACUGAUGUUCAGCGAAAGUGGAAUGCAGGCACAAGAAAGAAUACAGAGCUGAAAAGGGUGAAGCACAUAAAGUUUAAACGCCAUAAAGCAGAACAUAUUCAUGAAGGUUCAUCAGCGUCAACAUCAAAUCACACCAGUGCAUCAUCAACAGGGGGUAUCCCCAAAGUUUUUAAAAAUCACAAAGACUUUAAAACGUGCA